UCGCCUAUUCUUAUCUCCUCGGCGGAGCAGUUCUCCGGCUGGUAGGUGAACUCCGGAGGAGCUGAGAAGGGGUUGCAGACGUUCACUAGGCCUGGAAAGGCGGACGAAGACCGCACCUCUGAUAUAUUUUUAUUGAUCUGGUCUAUGAGAUCACUGAUUCCUGCUCUGGUGUCCCGCAGGGCCCACCUCGCCGUGAGCUUGUCGUCGCAGGGGAGGAUGGUGGCCAGGCUGCUGUUGCGGGGAUCCCUCUGGAAUUCUUCGAGGGCGGCGCACGUGUCCCCGGCGAACCUGAGGCCAGAAGGGUUCAUCAUCUCCGGCCCCGCAAUGGUCUAUCAAAUCAACCCCGAAUUGUAACCACGCCCACUGGUGGCUCACCUGUCGACGAAGAAGUAGAGCCCAGAGUUCGCCCAGCAGAGGGAGAUCACCACCCAGGUGAGGCACAGAAUCCUGCGGGCGGCGAUGAGGACGACUCCAGAUUAGUGACAAAGAUGGUAUAUUUUUGCAGUAACAGUGAUCGAAGCACGCUUGAGUUUUGCUACUUACAGGACGAAAGGUCGCCGGAGCUUGAGGAAUCCCGACCCUGAACCAGAUGCGGAAGACGGAGAUAUCGGAUGUUAGUCAGUUAGGUGGUGGGUGGGACCCCAAGAUCUGAGAAAAAUGGAUUCUUUCACUUACCCAGCAGACCGAGAGCCAAGACCAGAUCGAGAGAAACAAUGGCGAUGGUGGUCGCAUGCCUGAGAAGGAAGGAGAACAACCCGCCCAGUUCAGCUUCACAGGAAUGCCGAAGACAGGGAUGCCGAAGAACUUACAAUAUCUGGAGGCCUUUGCCGAUCAUCCGCACGUUCUUCUCCGCUUUCCUCUGCAGCCCCGAGGCGUCGCCGUCCAGCCUGUCCGACGCGGCGGCGAGGGCCGCCGACACGUGGAGGCCGCUGGAGAGCUCCCCGCCUUCCCGGAUCGCCUUCACCGACCUUGUCACGUUGAAGAUGGUCUCAGAGGCCCCCCUCGC
rnacentral:lncRNA from 1 species